rnacentral:rRNA from 1 species
CUGAUCCAGCCAUGCCGCGUGAGUGAAGAAGGCCUUCGGGUUGUAAAGCUCUUUCAGACGGAAAGAAAUCGGUGCGUUUAAUACAUGCACUGGAUGACGGUACCGUAAGAAGAAGCACCGGCUAACUACGUGCCAGCAGCCGCGGUAAUACGUAGGGUGCGAGCGUUAAUCGGAAUUACUGGGCGUAAAGCGUGCGCAGGCGGUUAUGUAAGACAGAUGUGAAAUCCCCGGGCUCAACCUGGGAACUGCGUUUGUGACUGCAUAACUAGAGUACGGCAGAGGGAGGUGGAAUUCCACGUGUAGCAGUGAAAUGCGUAGAGAUGUGGAGGAACACCGAUGGCGAAGGCAGCCUCCUGGGCCAGUACUGACGCUCAUGCACGAAAGCGUGGGGAGCAAACAGGAUUAGAUACCCUGGUAGUCCACGCCCUAAACGAUGUCAACUAGUUGUUCGGUGAGGAGACUCAUUGAGUAACGCAGCUAACGCGUGAAGUUGACCGCCUGGGGAGUACGGCCGCAAGGUUAAAACUCAAAUG